AGGAAGGGGACAUCCGCAGUGAAAUCCAACAUAAUUUCCGACAGCAACGGAGCAAUCCCAGAAGUGGAACAUCGUGGAUAUAGACCAAUUCUGGCUUAACGCCUCACAUCAUUCCUCCCC